rnacentral:rRNA from 1 species
AUGGUGAACACGACGGCGGCUAUGGUGAGCGGCGGCAAGGGCGGCGUGCUGCCGCUGGCGUCCCUGAACCACAUCAGCAUAGUGUGCAAGUCGGUGGAGGAGUCGCUCGACUUCUACAUGAACGUCCUCGGGUUCACCCCCAUCCGCCGGCCCGGCUCCUUCGACUUCGACGGCGCAUGGCUGUUCAACUACGGGAUCGGCAUCCACCUGCUGCAGUCGGAGCGUCCCGACAGCUUACCAGCGAAGAAGGAGAUCAACCCCAAGGAUAACCACAUCUCCUUCCAGUGCGAGAGCAUGGUGGCGGUGGAGCGGCGGCUCAAGGAGCUGGGCAUUCCAUACAUCCAGCGGUGCGUGGAGGAGGGCGGCAUCUACGUGGACCAGAUCUUCUUCCACGACCCCGACGGCUUCAUGAUCGAGAUCUGCAACUGCGACAACCUCCCGGUCGUCCCGCUCGCCGACCAGACCUUCGCCAUGGCCGCCUGCAAGAGGGUCGCCUCCGUCAAGCAGUAG